rnacentral:rRNA from 1 species
UACGUAGGGUGCGAGCGUUGUCCGGAAUUAUUGGGCGUAAAGAGCUUGUAGGCGGUUUGUCGCGUCUGCUGUGAAAAUCCGGGGCUCAACCCCGGACUUGCAGUGGGUACGGGCAGACUAGAGUGUGGUAGGGGGAGACUGGAAUUCCUGGUGUAGCGGUGGAAUGCGCAGAUAUCAGGAGGAACACCGAUGGCGAAGGCAGGUCUCUGGGCCGGGAACUGACGCUGAGGAGCGAAAGCGUGGGGAGCGAACAGG